CGGAGUGCAACAGACAGAUGACAAAAACUAGUGGAAAAACAACAAGAAGGAAUGCCUCCACUGCGGCCUGCCUGCAUGCUUCGAUCCCCCCUCAAUGUUUUUACACCUCCAAUUUGAAGCAGCGAUGGGAUUAGUUGGUGGGAUUGUUGGCAGAGGCGCCUCGCUCCACAUGCAUGUAAUCUAGGAGACAAGGAAGAAUGAAAGAAGAAAUUCUGUGCGGAUGAAGGCAGCAGAAACGGGAUGACGGGGAAGAAUCGGCAGAGCCGCUGGAAACAGAAAUCCAUCUUCAGGCUUCCAGGAGAUCAGGAUUUUACGACACCGUGCGCUGGUCGUCAUUGGAAACGCAUGGCAAAACACUCCCGCUUUUGUCCACCUGUGUCACCAAAAUCGACCAAAAUUACACUACUACUAUUACUAAAUUACAAGCGAGGGGAUGAGUUAUUGUCUCGAAAGGGAUCCUUGUUUUGUAUUCAGGGCAGUGUUGUUUUCGUCUACAAUGACGAUAACGAAAAUAUUUCGUCAGCGAACAAUUUUUUUUGUGACGAUGACGCACUGAAAACUGUGUCUUGGGAGAGUAAAACACAACGAGAUGGAUGCCAGUUUUCGUCUGACGACACGAGAACGAGAUGAAAAUUCGCCAUUGUUUCCGUCAUAAAUUCACAAUGUGUGAUAUUUUCUUAUUGUAUGUGUAGUUAGAACGCAUUUAGCAGUGUUUAGUCAUGUCACUCGUGACGUGCUGCGCUAACCCCACCCCCUUGCCCCACACACAGGCUUAAGCGUGUGCCCAUUCCAGGCUCCUUUUGCGAAACGUGUGAUGUUCUGCUUGGCAAGUUUUCUUAGCUAUGCCAUAAUGCUUUAACCGUUAAACGUCUGUGAUGAGUGAUCAUCACACACUGAACUAACGUUAACUCGUUAGCAUAGCAUUCGCGUUACCAUUAGCAUUUAGCGCGGUAACUCGUUGUCUUCUUAAACUCUGGGAAAAUAUUUUACAUACAGUUCGUGGCGUCCAGAUGAGUUUAAUUACCGUAAUUUCCUGAAUAUCAUGCACAUUUUUUUCCCCCCAAAAUCGACUUGUAAAAUACUGGGUGCGCAUUAUACACGGGUACAGGGAUAGAGACAGAAAUAAAUAUAUACUGUAUAUAAAAAAAAAAUUUUAAAUGGCCGUCUCGCCCACCCGGGCGGUAUGGUCUCUCCUUUCAAGCUCGGGUCCUCUACCAGAGGCCUGGGAGCUUGAGGGUCCUGCGCAGUAUCGUAGCUGUCCCUAGGAUUGUGCUCUUCUGAAUGGAGACGUCGGACGUUGUUCCUGGUAUCUGUUGGAGCCAUGCACCCAGCUACUUCAGGGCAAGUGACAUUUAAACUAGGGCUGUCAAAAUUUUCGCGUUAACGGGCGUUAAUUAAUUUUUAAAAAUUAAUCACGUUAAAAUAUUUGACGCAAUUAACACACAUGCCCCGCUCAAACAGAUUAGAAUGACAGCACAGUAUCAUGUCCACUUGUUACUUGUGUUUUUUGGCGUUUUGUCGCCCUCUGCUGGCGCUUGGGUAAGACUGAUUUUAGCACCAUGAGCAUUGUGUAAUUAUUGACAUCAACAAUGGUGAGCUACUAGUUUAUUUUUUGAUUGAACAUUUUACAAAUUUUAUUAAAACGAAAACAUUAAGUGGAAUUUUAAUAUAAAAUUUCUAUAACUUGUACUAACAUUUAUCUUUUAAGAACUACAAGUCUUUCUAUCCAUGGAUCACUUUAACAGAAUGUUAUUGCCAACUUGUUGAUUUAUUGUUAUAAUAAACAAAUACAGUACUUAUGUACAGUAUGUUGAAUGUAUACAUCUGUCUUGUGUCUUAUCUUUCCAUUCCAACAAUAAUUUACAGAAAAAUAUGGCAUAUUUUAUAGAUAGUUUGAAUUGCGAUUAAUUACGAUUAAUUAUUUUUAAGCUGUGAUUAACUUGAUUAAACAUUUUAAUCGUUUGGCAGCCCUAAUUUAAACAAGAUGUUAUAUUUAAUUAGUUAGACUGUAUAACAGUCAAAAUACAGAUCUUUUCUCCAACAUGACAAAUAAUCAUGAUUAAUAGUUGUGAUUACAAUAUUAGUCAAAAUAUUUCUGAAAUUGACUGCAGGGCUGUCCAAGCUGUAGUCUGUGUGAUAUAUUUUGUUAAGAAACGUCAAUGGCAGGUUAGUGGUUAAUGUAGCUGAUCUAUUUCCAGCCCUAAUAUAGCUAUAUACUAGUACAGUACAAACAACAUCAUUUUCAGUAUCAUGGUUCGUAUAGUUCAGGGGUCCCCAUCUGCCGGGCCGCUGACCGGUACCGGUCCGUGGCGCAUUUGCGACCGGGCCGCAAAGAAAAAAAUAAUUUAAUAACGACCGCAUUCUGGCCGAAUUAACCCUGUACCCCUGCUUAACACACCAAUAUCUCUGUCUACUCUAGAUAUAAUACUACGGGAUAGAUUACAAUGUUGUCAUAGAAGUCCAUUGAUUGGAAUGCUAGCAGUACAUCUUGUUUGUGUAUAUAAUAUAUCUAUGUGCGCUUGUCCUCGAUAAUAGCGGCCGCGGCGCAGCACAUUUGUUCCCGGAAAUAAUUAGCCCCCACACGAGCGAAGAUAACAGGAAAACAGACGUCUUUGGAAAUAUUUUUACGGCGAAAAUGAUAUUUUUAGGGCGAAAAGGGCACCUGACGAGCCUACAACCUCGAAGACCCACGAACUGCGAAGGAGUGGAUUCGUGACCCAUUUGUGAAUAAACAGAGAGAGAUCGCAAAUGACGGCGACCUUAUUAAACGUUCAUUUGAGACAACAACUCUAUCGAGGUUCUGGAUUAAAGUCAUUCUUGAAUAUCCUGACAUCGCGACAAGAGCGUUGAAAACCUUGCUACAAUUUCCAACAUUGUAUCUUUGUGAAGCAGGCUUCUUAAUUAAUGUUUAACGACAAGGCGAAGUCGUUAAUGGUGAGCGCGGUGUGAAGCUGUUGUGUGAAGCUUACAUGGCAGGAUGAAUCUGAGGAGAACUUUUCUACAAGUCCUUCCAUGAUCAAACGUAAGUUAAUAUUCCUUUCUUUCAAGAAAGUUUGUAGUGUUUACUUUGGAAUCGCUGCAUUUGCGCAUUUUGUGGCUAUGUUUAGCGUUACGCGCAUGCGCAGAGCCGCAUCGUUGCAAUUUUUGAUGGGUUGCAAAAUUUGUCAGAACACCGGUCUGUGAAAAAAAGACCCAAAUAACACCGGUCCAUGGUGGAAAAAAGGUUGGGGACCCCUGGUAUAGUUGACCACCAGGAGCGUGUAUCGGUACCUAAUAUUAUGACUUGCAUGUAUAUUUAAACUAGGGCUGUCAAAAUUAUCGCGUUAACGGGCGGUAAUUAAUUCUUUAAAUUAAUCAUGUUAAAAUAUUUGACGCAAUUAA